CUACGGGCGGCUCCAGUGAGGAAUAUUGCACAAUGGGGGGAACCCUGAUGCAGCAACGCCGCGUGGAGGAUGACGCAUUUCGGUGUGUAAACUCCUUUUAUAUGUCAAGAAAAUGACGGUAGCAUAUGAAUAAGCACCGGCUAACUCCGUGCCAGCAGCUGCGGUAAUACGGAGGGUGCAAGCGUUACUCGGAAUCACUGGGCGUAAAGGACGCGUAGGCGGGUUGGAAAGUCAGGUGUGAAAUCCUACAGCUUAACUGUAGAACUGCACUUGAAACUUCUAAUCUAGAGUAUGGGAGGGGGAGAUGGAAUUAGUGGUGUAGGGGUAAAAUCCGUAGAUAUCACUAGGAAUACCUAAAGCGAAGGCGAUCUCCUGGAACAUUACUGACGCUAAGGCGUGAAAGCGUGGGGAGCAAACAGGAUUAGAUACCCUAGUAGUC
rnacentral:rRNA from 1 species